CCUACGGGAGGUAGCAGUGAGGAAUAUUGGUCAAUGGACGAAAGUCUGAACCAGCCAAGUAGCGUGAAGGAUGACUGACCUAUGGAUUGUAAACUUCGUUUAUAAAGGAGUAAAAGGAGGCACGUGUGCCUUUUUGCAUGUACUUUAUGAAGAAGGAUCGGCUAACUCCGUGCAAGCAGCCGCGGUAAUACGGAGGAUCCGAGCGUUAUCCGGAUUUAGUGGGUUUAAAGGGAGCGGAGAUGGGAUGUGAAGUCAGUUGUGAAAGUUUGGGGCUCAACCGUAAGAUUGCACUUGAGACUGGCAGUCUUGAGUGCAGGAGAGGUAGGCGGAAUUCGUGGUGUAGCGGUGAAAUGCUUAGAUAUUACGCAGAACGCCGAUUGCGAAGGCAGCAUACCGGCGUCGAACUGACGCUGAGGCACGAAAGCGUGGGUAUCGAACAGGAUUAGAUACCCUUGUAGUC
rnacentral:rRNA from 1 species